rnacentral:rRNA from 1 species
UACGAAUGGAGCAAGCGUUGUUCGGAAUCACUGGGCUUAAAGCGUGCGUAGGCGGAUCAACAAGUCAGGAGUGAAAUCCCAGGGCUCAACCAUGGAACUGCUCUUGAAACUGUCGAUCUAGAAUCCCGGAGGGGCCAGUAGAAUUCUCAGUGUAGAGGUGAAAUUCGCAGAUAUUGAGAGGAAUACCAGUGGCGUAGGCGACUGGCUGGACGGGUAUUGACGCUGAGGCACGAAAGCGUGGGUAGCAAACAGGAUUAGAUACCCUGGUAGUCCACGCCGUAAACGAUGUGUGCUAGUUGUCGGGACCUUAAGGUUUCGGUGACGGAGCGAAAGUUUUAAGCACACCGCCUGGGGAGUACGGCCGCAAGGUUAAA